UUCGCAAUGCCCGAAAGGGUGACGAAGCGACGCCGCGUGGGUGAGGAAGGCCUUCGGGUUGUAAAGCCCUGUCAGGAGUUAAGAAAUAUAGACUCGCUAAUAUCGGGUCUAUUUGACAAAGGCUCCAAAGGAAGCCACGGCUAACUCUGUGCCAGCAGCCGCGGUAAUACAGAGGUGGCAAGCGUUGUUCGGAAUUAUUGGGCGUAAAGAGCACGUAGGUGGAUUUGUAAGUCAGACGUGAAAGCCUUCUGUUCAACGGAAGAAUUGCAUCUGAAACUACAAACCUUGAGUGUAGGAGGGGAGAAUGGAACUUCUGGUGGAGCGGUGAAAUGCGUAGAUAUCAGAAGGAACGCCGGCGGCGAAAGCGAUUCUCUGGCCUAUUACUGACACUCAGUGUGCGAAAGCUAGGGGAGCAAACGGGAUUAGAUACCCCGGUAGUCCUAGCCGUAAACGAUGGGCACUAAGUAGAGGGGUUUU
rnacentral:rRNA from 1 species